rnacentral:rRNA from 1 species
GGCAAAUGCGGCGGCAUACCAUGCAGUCGAACGAUGAAGCCCAGCUUGCUGGGUGGAUUAGUGGCGAACGGGUGAGUAACACGUGGGUGAUCUGCCCUGCACUCUGGGAUAAGCCUGGGAAACUGGGUCUAAUACCGGAUAUGACCUCGGGAUGCAUGUUCUGGGGUGGAAAGUUUUUCGGUGCAGGAUGAGCCCGCGGCCUAUCAGCUUGUUGGUGGGGUAAUGGCCUACCAAGGCGACGACGGGUAGCCGGCCUGAGAGGGCGACCGGCCACACUGGGACUGAGACACGGCCCACACUCCUACGGGAGGCAGCAGUGGGGAAUAUUGCACAAUGGGCGCAAGCCUGAUGCAGCGACGCCGCGUGAGGGAUGACGGCCUUCGGGUUGUAAACCUCUUUCACCCAUGACGAAGCGCAAGUGACGGUAGUGGGAGAAGAAGCACCGGCCAACUACGUGCCAGCAGCCGCGGUAAUACGUAGGGUGCGAGCGUUGUCCGGAAUUACUGGGCGUAAAGAGCUCGUAGGCGGUUUGUCGCGUCGUCUGUGAAAUCCCGCAGCUCAACUGCGGGCUUGCAGGCGAUACGGGCAGACUCGAGUACUGCAGGGGAGACUGGAAUUCCUGGUGUAGCGGUGAAAUGCGCAGAUAUCAGGAGGAACACCGGUGGCGAAGGCGGGUCUCUGGGCAGUAACUGACGCUGAGGAGCGAAAGCGUGGGUAGCGAACAGGAUUAGAUACCCUGGUAGUCCACGCCGUAAACGGUGGGCGCUAGGUGUGGGUUUCCUUCCACGGGAUCCGUGCCGUAGCCAACGCAUUAAGCGCCCCGCCUGGGGAGUACGGCCGCAUGGCUAAAACUCACAGGAAUGUGACGGGGGCCCGGCACAAGCGGCGGAGCAUGUGGAUUAAUUCGAUGCAACGCGAAGAAUCUUUACCUGGGUUUGACAUGUACCGGACGACUGCAGAAGAUGUGGUUUCCCUUGUGGACCGGUAGAACAGGUGGUGCAUGGCUGUCGUCAGGCUCGUGGUCGUGAGAUGUUGGGUUAAGUUCCCGCAAUCGUAGCGCUAACCCUUGUCCUGUGUUGCAAGCACUUUGACUGUGGGUGACUCGCAGGAGACUGGCGGGGUCCACUCGAAGGAAGGUGGGACGACGUCAGAUCAUCAUGACCCUAUGUCAGGCUUCCACAUGGCUUACAAUGGUCGGUACGAAGGCUGCCAUCCGUGGAGGGUGAGCAAUCCGUAAGGCGGAUCUAACUUCGCAUACCGAGUCGUGCAACUGAAAUCACG